AAUUGGAGGGCAAGUCUGGUGCCAGCAGCCGCGGUAAUUCCAGCUCCAAUAGCGUAUAUUAAAGUUGUUGCAGUUAAAAAGCUCGUAGUUGAAUUUCGGGGUUAGUAGGUUGGUCAUGCCUCUGGUAUGUACUGAUCUCACUGAUUCCUCCUUCCUUAUGAACCGUAAUGCCAUUAAUUUGGUGUCGCGGGGAAUUUGGACUGUUACUUUGAAAAAAUUAGAGUGUUUAAAGCAGGCUAACGCUUGAAUACAUUAGCAUGGAAUAAUGAAAUAGGACGUUCGAUCUUAUUUUGUUGGUUUCUAGGAUUGACGUAAUGAUUAAUAGGGAUAGUUGGGGGCAUUAGUAUUCAAUUGUCAGAGGUGAAAUUCUUGGAUUUAUUGAAGACUAACUACUGCGAAAGCAUUUGCCAAGGAUGUUUUCAUUAAUCAAGAACGAAAGUUAGGGGAUCGAAGACGAUCAGAUACCGUCGUAGUCUUAACCAUAAACUAUGCCGACUAGGGAUCGGAUGAUGUUAAUUUUUUAAUGACUCAUUCGGCGCCUUACGGGAAACCAAAGUGU
rnacentral:rRNA from 1 species